UAUGGUUGCUCCAGUCGGACGGGGACAGACGGGGGGACAGCGCGAUGAUCCCCGAGCCUCUCCUCUCCCAUCCAGAUCGACCUCAGAGGACCAGUCGCCAUGCAAGAGGCAACCGGACCCCGCGGGGCACCGGAGCGCACGGCCGUCCGUCUUAUUUCCAGGUGGCUCUUUAACGCCAACAAAGACUCAUUCAUCUCCAAGAGCAUCUCCUGUGCUCUGCUCCCGGCUAACCUGGAUGCCAACUCCCCAGCUUCAGAAAUGACAUGUCCUGUCAACCCAGGAAGGAUGAGGCUACCGGGCAAUAUGCUGCUGUCUGAUUGGCCACCUGUGCUCCACAACUGAUUAUUUUGGAUCGACUUACUUUUUAUUCAAAAUGUCCUUCACCGGAGUACGCUCGGCCUGGCCUUAUUCUGUCUGGUGAUGGACGACUUGGGGCUUGUCAAGACUGACACACUGGCCACUGUCUUUGGCCACACAUGCUGUGUUGGAUUUGAAGAAAUUUAUCUAUGUCAUAAUAAUAUAUAGUCUACUGUGCGAGUAGAAGGCAGCUGGUAAAAUUGAAAGAGGGACUUUUUUUACAAGUGGGAAAAUCAAUCAGAUGUACAUGAGGUGGACAAGUAUUAACAGGCACUCCACAGUAUAAUACAAUACAGUUAGGUGACAUUUGAAAGAAUAUUACCUUUGUGAAGUUUGUUGAGGCCGUAGUUCAUUUAGGUUCACUGGACUACAGUGUUAUGUCAUAAGAUGUUUCCCACUUUAUUUAUGAUGGCAAAUACUAGGUAUAUCUGCAAACACACAAGAAAAGAAAGCUUCAGAAAUGAUUGCAGUUGAAUCAAACUCUUUCUGACACAAUCACCACCAAAACUCAAUGUAACAGUGUAAACCAUACACAUUCAAAACUUAAAUUUAAAAAUUCUGUAAUGAUGUCAGAGCAGAUUCAAAAUGGCAAGUUAAAUUGAUUCUUUUCAACUAAAAAAAAACCCACACCGAAUUAAUUUGCACUUCUACUGUAUAUCAAGGUCCUGCCAAUAGACAAGCAGAUAAGUUUAUCCAUGAUCCGUCAUAAAUGUUUGCAUCAUUUUUCACCUCUACAUAUUAGAGAAACACACUGACACAUUACCCAUCUGUCUAAAAUUUUCGUUUCAUUUCAUCAUGGAGCUAUGGAUUGUGUUCAGGGUGGAGAGACAAAAAGAACCCUAAUGCGAACCUAAUACACAGCAAACAUAUUCAGCGUUCUAAACAAAAAAAUAAAAAAUGUCACCAAUACAGUACAUACAGUAUGUCAUUUUGAAGAGAGUAGAAAAACUAACUGGUUUAAGACAAUGCAGCAGACAGAAAAGUUUCUCUCUGCUUUGUUUGAUUGCUUUCAUUAGGUAGAACUGGGAAUAGCUUCCAGGAAAUUGUUGUGACAGUUUAAUAUCCAGCAGAGAACAAUCUUCUGCGUCUGCAGCUGCACCAUUGUUAGCUCCACAUGAACAUUCAGUCCGGAUCCUGAUCAAUUUUGUAGAGAUUUUAGAGAAGUUGGAGAUUAAAGUUUAAAAGCAAGCACUGCGUCAUAAAAGCAUGUCUGUGGGACUCUACUGCAGACUCCUUCCAGUCAAGUUAGCUUCUUGAUUGACACUUAGUGCUGCCUAAUAAAAGAUUUACACAUCUGUCACACACCAAUUUCAUCUAUACCCCUGGCUCGCCUGCUGCCAACAAACUGGUGGUCCUUUGCAGGGUUUAUGAGCAACUCCUCUCCAGAUAUUUAGGAAUGUGGUUUUAUUCUGCAUAAACCAAAAGCACCAAUCAUGUGUAUCAAAAAAAAAAAAAUCAUACUUUAUUCAUAACCUUGGCUGACUAUGGUUCUCACGUUUCUGUCUAAAUGCUUGAUUAACUAUAAACUGUCAAACGAAAAGGAACAAAUCACAUUUUUCUCAUGUGGUGUUUUUAUCAUCAGUAAAAAUAGCAUCAGCCUACUUUAUCCUAUGUCUACUGUAUGCGAGCUGUGUCCCACAGUCACAGCAUCAGCAGGGUGUUGAUUGCAAGCUCAAAGAGGCUUACGGUGCCCUGCUCGCUCUCGUGUGAUUGGGUGGCGAGUAUAGGUCCAGUCGAUGAACUGGAUAGUGGCUAAAAGCUCCAAAGAGCAGCAAGGCAGCCACACAUUCAUCUGCCCUGUUUACUUCUCUUGUCCCACAGCUUCUCGUCCAUUCUUCCUCUUGUUCUCGAGUCACUGUUGCUAUUUUAUGGUGGGACAUACAUAGCUAAUUAUGUGGUAUGUCAUCCAGUUUGGGUUUUAUUUUAAUCUCAAGCUGCACUGUAUCGCUUUUCAUCAAAAUAAUAUUUGAUGCAUACCA
ensembl:lncRNA